ACCCGAAGUCGCCUGGCCAACCCGCAAGGGAAGUAAGCGCCUAAGGUCUGGACAGUGACUGGGGUGAAGUCGUAACAAGGUAGCUGUAGGUGAACCUGCAGAAGGAUCA
rnacentral:rRNA from 1 species